rnacentral:rRNA from 1 species
AGCUAACGCAUUAAGUGCCCCGCCUGGGGAGUACGGCCGCAAGGCUAAAACUCAAAGGAAUUGACGGGGGCCCGCACAAGCGGCGGAGCAUGCGGAUUAAUUCGAUGCAACGCGAAGAACCUUACCAAGGCUUGACAUGAACCGGAAAGACCUGGAAACAGGUGCCCCGCUUGCGGUCGGUUUACAGGUGGUGCAUGGUUGUCGUCAGCUCGUGUCGUGAGAUGUUGGGUUAAGUCCCGCAACGAGCGCAACCCUCGUUCUAUGUUGCCAGCACGUGAUGGUGGGGACUCAUAGGAGACUGCCGGGGUCAACUCGGAGGAAGGUGGGGACGACGUCAAAUCAUCAUGCCCCUUAUGUCUUGGGCUUCACGCAUGCUACAAUGGCCGGUACAAAGGGUUGCGAUACUGUGAGGUGGAGCUAAUCCCAAAAAGCCGGUCUCAGUUCGGAUUGGGGUCUGCAACUCGACCCCAUGAAGUCGGAGUCGCUAGUAAUCGCAGAUCAGCAACGCUGCGGUGAAUACGUUCCCGGGCCUUGUACACACCGCCCGUCAAGUCACGAAAGUUGGUAACACCCGAAGCCGGUGGCCUAACCCCUUGUGGGAGGGAGCUGUCGAAGGUGGGACUGGCGAUUGGGACUAAGUCGUAACAAGGUAGCCGUACCGGAAGGUGCGG